UUUGACCCCCAUCACCUCCUCUCUCUCCCCGGCCUAGCCCCCGAGUCGUUAGCCCGCCGGAAGAGGAGAAAACUCGCCGGAGACGCCGGAAGCUUUUUUGCCAGAAAUCCCACCUCCGGCCACCAUAGGUCGGAAUCUUUGGCUCAUCUUGUAGCCCUCAUCAAGGUGAGUAUUCCCUCAAAAGGAAUUAGUCUAUUUCGUUGUUGUUAUGGAGAAAUAUAUAAUUGAAGUUUUUAGGGAUUUAUGGAAGUUUUGAUUCAUUGGCCCUAGUUAGCCUUAGAAAUGGACUAAGUGCUAGUUAUGAAUGUUGUUGAGCAUGAUGAGAGGAAUAUUCUGUGAAAAUUUGAGAAGCAUUGGAGGUCGCCGGAAAAUGGCUGCCGGCCGCCGCCACCGGCGGGCCAGCCGCCGCCGCCGCCCCUUAAGGGCAGUUUUUCAUGCUUUUUGGGUUUGUUUUAAUGAGAGGAGUUUAAUGAAGUAUAGUUUGGAAUUUUUGGAGGAGAUUUGAUAAGGUUUAGGAUUUAUCUAUGAUUAAGGAUUUAGGCGGUUAUUCGAAUAGAAAUCCGGCAGUUGGUUUAGCAGGUUUUAAAGUCUAAAAAGGUUAAAUUAUGGCUUUCGGUAAGUGCGGAGUAAUGUGAACCUUAUUAGGUAAAAUGUGGAGAAGUUGGGCAAGAGAAAUGAAAUUAUAGGCUUCCUUUUUAUUUCGGGAAUUUUAUUAAAGUUUUGUCCUGGUUUGGAGGCUUAAUGAUUAUUUAUUGUUCAGGACGUGAGGAGGAUCAUUUGGAGGAAGCCUCGGGCCGUCGGCAAGCAUAGCCUAGCACGGUGAGUGGACCUUUGAUUUUAAUAUCAUGCAUGCGCUAAAGUUAUUUAAUUUCAAAGGCAUUUGGAGAUAUAAUAAUUUGUUGGAUUAUCGAGUUCCACUUAUUUUUUUUUCCGGAACUCGUCUGCUAAUUUUAGUUGACUACGUGGGACGUGUCAAGUGUUUAUAUUAUUUCCAUGUACAGUUGGGAACUGUACUGUGCGCUAUGAGUUUUUUUUUAAUUUAAUUUGGGGAAGUGUGGAUCUUUGUAUUUAAUAUUGUAUUUCACCAUAAAAGGGUUGAUAUAUAGAUUAUUGCUAGCUAACCUUAUUAGCGGUUCUCAUCAUAUGUGAGUAGAGCGCUUAGCGUGGGACGCUAUUAUAGCCUGGGAGGCAACCGAACGGUACAUAUAUAUAUAAUAUUUAUUGUUAGCUAGCCAUUAUUUAGCGGUCCUCAUCAUAUGAGAGUUGAGCGCUUAGCGUAUGACGCUAUUAUAACUUUUUAAGCGGUCCUCAUCAUAUGUGAGUAGAGCGCUUAGCGUGGGACGCUAUUAUAGCCUGGGAGGCUCAUUGUUAUGGUGAAACAUUUUCCCUAUUUUUAUUGAUUUAUUGGGAACCAAUGGGAUUGGUUCAUUAGUUUUGUCUAUAAUUAUUUUCGGAAAGAUUUCCAAGAAUGGCAUGCAUAAUAUAAAUAUUUUUCUCAAUGGAAAAUAUGGGAAAAGCGUUAAAUUGAUUUCAAUGCUCUAUCAUUAAGUCCGUAUUUUUAUUAUUUAUUUUGUCCACUCACUCUAACGUUUUAAAUGCUUUCCCUUGGGCCUUUCGUUUUAAAUGCCCAGUAUGUAGAGUUCUGUUCGGCGAGGGUAGGAGGCGAGUCAUAUUUCCCACCUCAUCCAGUUUUCUCUCAUAGGUUACUAGUUAACCUACCUAUGUAUUUUCUUCUUUCCUAGUAGUUGCUCUGAUAACCUUGGGAUGUUUUAAGUGUUGUUGUUGUUGUUGUUGUUAAUGUUGCGAGUUAAGAGCUUAUGACUCCACCUAUGAGUGUUGAAAAAGGUUUAUUUGGCAUGUUAUAUGAGGGAUUAAAUUCAUGAAAUUAUUUCGAUUUAUUAUGUUGGUUGAGGUGGUGGAUGUUUAUUUGGGGGAGCGGAUGGCUCCAGAAGACGUGGAUUGAAUUGUUUUAGACGUGUUUGGGUUUUGGUGAUUUUUUUCUUCUAGGUAGGGUUACUCAUUUUCAAGGGAAGUUAUGCCAAAAUUUUGGUAGAAUUUCCCUUCAGGUGGGUCCCGCAGGGUUUAUUCCGGAUUUCAAGGGGAAAUCCGGGGUAGGUCUUGACAGUUGGUAUCAGAGCAUUAGGUUAUUCGAUUCCUUCCUCAUUCUAAUACUACCUCAUAUACUUGGUCAUAUUUAGUGUCUAUAGAGUGAUUGUCUGACCGCGGCGGAUCCGUUAGCAUUUUAUGUUUUGGAUACUAUGUGUUGAUUAGGUUUGUGAGGUAGUUGUUCUUGUCUUCUUAUGGACAGUAUAGUGUCAUAAUUGUCUACAUCUUCAGGACUAUGUCUCUGUACACCGACCUUUUAAGUGAUCAUCCUGCUUUGAGAAAUGAAAAGGUGUUUAGAUUCUGUCUUUUCCAAGGAUUAUGCAGUUUCUUGGUGAAAUUAGUUAUGAAAUAAGAGACUCCAUAUGGGUUUAAGUGUUGCCCUGUUUUGAAGUAAAUUGUGGAAAAGUAUUGCUUGAGCUAGUAAAUCGUGGACGUUAUUUGAGGCGUUGCGUGAGGCUGUUAAGAAUUUUUUUGGAUUUGAUGUGUUAAGGUUGGUUUCUGGGUUAGUUGAAGUUGGUUGAGGCUUUCAUCAUAAUGACCCCAGGAUUAUUUUCCUUGGGUUGUUGGCUUUUCAAUAGCCAAUGGACAUAGCAUUGUGACAUAUUUAUUCAUGUGUCAUAGUAAGAAUUUAAGAAAUUGAAUGGUGUUACUAAAUGUUUCGGAUUUUAAGCAAGCUUUAGCAUUGAGUGGCAUCUGUCGGUUAUAGUAUUUUAACCGUGGGGCCAUUAUGGAUUCCUCCGGAAUUCUAUGUGCUAAAGUUUGAUUUCGGAAUUUGUUAGAGUGUUUUGGAAAGACGGUAAAUGCAAAUGACUUUGAAACGUAAUGCUAGACUGGAAGCGAGAUGGUUAUGGUGGCUUCGGCUUUACGACAACAUAGCGUGAAUUUAAUAUGUGUUGUCAUGUGUAUUCUAAGAUAGUUGCGUGGAGUUGGUGGAAGUGGCAGCGGUGGAAUAAAGCCCAAUAGAGUGUAAUUUAGGGUGUCAAGCUUAUUUAGCUCAUGUGGUGGAUACUAGAAAGGGAGAUAGAUUUUACAAUUGAGCUACUUCCUGGAACGGCUCCUAUUUCUCAAGCGCCUUAUAGGAUGGCACCUGCAAAAUUAAAAGAGUUAAAAACUCAAUUGCAGGAGUUAUCUCCCCCCCUUAAAAAAAAUUUCGUCCUCGAAAUUUCAAACUGAAUGAGCUAAGGCUAACGAUCAUUGAUCGACAAUAUACUACACUUUGUUUCGUUAAGAAACUCAAUGGCUCGACUCUGCCUAUCCAAACGCGGCAUCGUUACAAUUAAAACACCGGUGACUCUGGUUCACCAAUCUCUCGCUUGACUGAGUAAAGCUUCUUUCAACGGAACUAAAUCUUUCGCUGAACCAUAAUUGUAUGCACUUAAGCAAAUUCAAAAUGCCUGCUCCAGAGCACGAGUACCCGUAGGUAUGCACAUGCUCAUAGAGGUCACAAUUAAGACCCGCUAAUUGAACGUAUUUAAGGAUGCAUACAUUGCAUAAAUUGCAACAAUCACUUCUAAUACCGAGAUACUUCGCGAAGCCAAAGCUCACACAAUACCACAAGACAACCCUUCUUCGCCUAAGCGAUUAUUCCAACAAGAGUUUAACCUCAAUCGCCGGAAUAAAAUUAUAUAGUGAUCAAUAACUACUUCACUUAGGUCUCUCCACCAAAACUAUGACAUUACCAUUUGUGCAUACAACGAGCAACUUAUGGGAAUUCAAGUUCUCUCUUGAUUAUGUUAUCCCCAUUAAUCUCUUUACCACUAACCAGAAAAUGAUCUGAAGCAUGACUAUCAUGUGGAAACGGGAUAUUCCUCCUUGCUUUCCAUAAACAAAAUUGACUAAUAAUGCCCACGACAAAAUAGUACAGUCAAUUCAGGCUACCUGACUUAACGUUUGAAAAUCACAUUCCUUAAGCUUUAGCAGAAUCUACAACCCCAGCCAUGCUACUUAUUCGGGUUCAACCGCGGCCCUAAAUUCAAUAGUUAAAACCACACAGCUUACUCUAGCUGUUUCAUGAGAAAGAUUCUAGAUGCCAAAAUCUUUGACUGAACAGACACACUUCUCUUCUUACUUCCUCAUCAAUUAAUCUGACUGCAAAACAAGAUCCUCAAAUCAUUUUUGGUCAAAACUCUUGUACACGUUUGGCGCUUCGGUUUCGAAACCCAAAGGCUUCUGACCAAUAUAUGGUCAACUAGGAAAAUUUACACCCACUACAUUUUUUUUUACCACAUUUUUACCAUCUCCAAAAAUUACUCUUUUAAAUCAUAACUUUUUCAUGCUAAUUCCGAUUUUAACACAUAGCAUGUCUACGAACUCGUAAUAACGUCCUCUACGACUUUUAUGAAGAAAGUUUUCCCAAAUUCCAAACACAAGAAAAAGUCAACUCUAGGGUCCUUAAGUGAUAAACGGUUACUUAACACGGUAAAAGACCAAAAUAAUACCAAAGUAAAUAACCGUAAAAUAACUUAAGAACCGGGGUGUGACAACCUUCACCCUCAAUCGAUAAGCAGAGACCUCCCACCACCACCUAGCCUACAAGCAGCCCCCUACUUCGCUGCAGCACAACAACAGCGGCGUCCAAAGCUUCCUCUCGCCGGAAGUAACUUCCUUGCCGGAAAUUUGAGUUCAGGUCUCCUCCAACACAGCAGCAGAAACACCCCUUGUCUCCAUAUAACCUAGUCUUGGCUCUCUGGUGAUCGAUGGCCCAGAUUAAAAGUUAUACUCUAAUUUCAGAAAAUUAAUUUUCUUUUACCAAACCUUCGAUAAAACGUAGAAAAUAACUAACGCCUCGUACCCAAUUUUUAUCUAUAAUUAAGGAUUUAGGCGGUUAUUCAAAUGGAAAUCCGGCAGUUGGUUUAGCAGGUUUUAAAGUCUAAAAAGGUUAAAUUAUGGCUUUCGGUAAGUGCGGAGUAAUGUGAACCUUAUUAGGUAAAAUGUGGAGAAGUUGGGCAAGAGAAAUGAAAUUAUAGGCUUCCUUUUUAUUUCGGGAAUUUUAUUAAAGUUUUGUCCUGGUUUGGAGGCUUAAUGAUUAUUUAUUGUUCAGGACGUGAGGAGGAUCAUUUGGAGGAACCCUCGGGCCGUCGGCAAGCAUAGCCUACCAUGGUGAGUGGACCUUUGAUUUUAAUAUCAUGCAUGCGCUAAAGUUAUUUAAUUUCAAAGGCAUUUGGAGAUAUAAUAAUUUGUUGGAUUAUCGAGUUCCACUUAUUUUUUUUUCCGGUAACUCUCUUGCUAAUUUUAGNNNNNNNNNNNNNNNNNNNNCUCAUCAUAUGUGAGUAGAGCGCUUAGCGUGGGACGCUAUUAUAGCCUGGGAGGCUCAUUGUUAUGGUGAAACAUUUUCCCUAUUUUUAUUGAUUUAUUGGGAACCAAUGGGAUUGGUUCAUUAGUUUUGUCUAUAAUUAUUUUCGGAAAGAUUUCCAAGAAUGGCAUGCAUAAAAUAAAUAUUUUUCUCAAUGGAAAAUAUGGGAAAAGCGUUAAAUUGAUUUCAAUGCUCUAUCAUUAAGUCUGUAUUUUUAUUAUUUAUUUUGUCCACUCACUCUAACGUUUUAAAUGCUUUCCCCUGGGCCUUUCGUUUUAAAUGCCCAGUCUGCAGAGUUCUGUUCGGCGAGGGUAGGAGGCGAGUCAUAUUUCCCACCUCAUCCAGUUUUCUCUCAUAGGUUACUAGUUAACCUACCUAUGUAUUUUCUUCUUUCCUAGUAGUUGCUCUGAUAACCUUGGGAUGUUUUAAGUGUUGUUGUUGUUGUUGUUGUUAAUGUUGCGAGUUAAGAGCUUAUGACUCCACCUAUGAGUGUUGAAAAAGGUUUAUUUGGCAUGUUAUAUGAGGGAUUAAAUUCAUGAAAUUAUUUCGAUUUAUUAUGUUGGUUGAGGUGGUGGAUAUUUAUUUGGGGGAACGGAUGGCUCCAGAAGACAUGGAUUGAAUUGUUUUAGAAGUGUUUGGGUUUUGGUGAUUUUUUUCUUCUAGGUAGGGUUACUCAUUUUCAAGGGAAGUUAUGCCAAAAUUUUAGUAGAAUUUCCCUUGAGGUGGGUCCCGCAGGGUUUAUUCCGGAUUUCAAGGGGAAAUCCGGGGUAGGUCCUGACAAGAACAUUGUGGUUGUCUCAAUAGAAUAUGUAAAGCCUAAAUGAAAUUUGUAGGAGCAGCAAAAUUCCCCCUACUUUUCAAUCUUACAAGUUAGUCUUUAAAAUAACCCUAGCUUUCACCACACAACGGAGAAAACACUAAGAGUUGUCUAAAUAUGGAGGUUUGUGGUCAACCAUUAAUCGACCAUCUUAAUUACACGAAAACACGCUAAUCUGCAAUAUCUUUACUUAUUUUUUAGCGUUUGUCGACAAUCGUAGCCUUGUAGUGUUAUUGUAUAUGAACUCAUGUAAGAAGUUGGUGUCAAUUAUAUCCCGGUGGAUUGGCUCCCCACAGAGAAACCUAAGUGUAAUUAGGGUUGACCGCAUCGAUCGGCACCCAUAUAAUACCAAAAAUUGAUGACGUUUCUACCACAAUCAUGCUUCAAUAUCGUGAACAUGUCUAUACGGUUCGAUUUUCAAAAUUUCAUUUCCUCAAUAGUGUCUCUCUAGAUAAACACACUUUUAUAUAAGAUAUACUACACAUGUUAUGUCAUAUUAUGUGCAACAUAAUAAACAUGUUAUACCUCAUUAGUAGAUUGAUUGUGAUCUAGAUGUUUAGGAUUAAGAUCAUGAAAAUCGACCGUUGGAUAUAAUUAUGAUAGUGAAGUAUAGUAGUGUAACAAAAUUCACAAAUUUUCGGUAACGUUUGGGUAUCGAUCGGUCAACCAUAAAUUCAACAAUAUUAAUUUUACGUCAUACAUCAGUAUAGAAAACAAUUGUUGUGGCACUACGAUAGGAAUUUUGGCUUUAAAUAUUAGGGCUUUUUAAGGUUUAAGGUAUUUUAGGGGUUAGAGGUUACAAUACAUACAACAUAAUAUCGAAA
rnacentral:lncRNA from 1 species